rnacentral:rRNA from 1 species
GAUGAACGCUGGCGGCGUGCCUAAUACAUGCAAGUCGAGCGAACGGACGAGAAGCUUGCUUCUCUGAUGUUAGCGGCGGACGGGUGAGUAACACGUGGAUAACCUACCUAUAAGACUGGGAUAACUUCGGGAAACCGGAGCUAAUACCGGAUGAUAUUUUGAACCGCAUGGUUCAAAAGUGAAAGACGGUCUUGCUGUCACUUAUAGAUGGAUCCGCGCUGCAUUAGCUAGUUGGUAAGGUAACGGCUUACCAAGGCAACGAUGCAUAGCCGACCUGAGAGGGUGAUCGGCCACACUGGAACUGAGACACGGUCCAGACUCCUACGGGAGGCAGCAGUAGGGAAUCUUCCGCAAUGGGCGAAAGCCUGACGGAGCAACGUCGCGGGAGAUGAUGAAGGUCUUCGGAUCGUAAAACUCUGUUAUUAGGGAAGAACAUAUGUGUAAGUAACUGUGCACAUCUUGACGGUACCUAAUCAGAAAGCCACGGCUAACUACGUG